rnacentral:rRNA from 1 species
GGCUGCAAGCUGGUGGCAGGCCUCUCGGUCUCGCCCCGGCGGGCAGUCCUCCUCGCGGGAAACGGGGGUUGCCUUAGCUGGCCGCUCUCGGGAACCGUGACGUUUACUUUGAAAAAAUUAGGGUGUUCAAAGCAGGCGUUCGCUUGAAUACAUUAGCAUGGAAUAAUGAAAUAGGGCUUCAGUCCUAUUUUGUUGGUUUUCGGGAUCCGAAGCA